rnacentral:tRNA from 1 species
GGAGGGAUGCCCGAGUGGUUAAAGGGGGCGGACUGUAAAUCCGUUGGUUUAUCCUACGUCGGUUCAAAUCCGACCCCCUCCACCA